rnacentral:ncRNA from 1 species
UGAUGUACAAUGAGUGACCAAGUAAUUGUCUGAUUAAUUGAAGAGAGUGAUAUAUCUGGUGAAAGUAUCAUAAUUAAAGGACAAUGAAUUUCAGUCAGGAGUAUUUGGCUUAAUCGCCAACGUAGUAGACUGCGUUAUAGUCGCCAAAGCUGAUAAAUAUCAGGAAUUUGGGUGGUACCACGGUAUUGAACGUCCCAUGU